GCGGUAAUAACUCAACGGCAGAGUGUCACCUUCCCAAGGUGAAGGCUGCGGGUUCAAAUCCCGUUUGCCGCUCCA
rnacentral:tRNA from 1 species